rfam:Pteropus alecto contig104856, whole genome shotgun sequence.
GUCUACGGCCAUGCCACCCUGAACAAGCCCGAUCCUGUCUGAUCUCGGAAGCUAAGCAGGGUCAGGCCUGGUUAGUACUUGGAUGGGAGACCAGGUACUAACGCUGUAGGCGUAAAAA